GAUCAGAGCACAGCUACAAGGAGCACGAAGACCCUGCUAGUGACCCAGGGAAGGCAAGGAGGGCAGCAGAGGGGGUUUCCUUGCUGACCUCUCUGAGCCAGGGAGGGCUAAAAACGGGCUGAGCUCCAGCUAGGAAGGGCCGGGACAGGUGAUGAGCUCCAGGACCAGCUGAGGACACCAGAGCUGGAGCAGGGUGCAGCAUUCGCUUGUUUGAAGGAUACUUGAAAACAACACAUGGAGGAGAUUGCCAGUGUGUCCAGAGAGGGGAAGACCCUGCUGGUGUGCGCUCCCAAGUGCUCAGAACUUGAUUGAAUCAACAGAACAUUGAGAAGUUUCCACUGCAAGCAGGAAACGGAUCUCCAAGACACCAAAAAUCUGCUACCACUUGGCCAAGGGGCAACAAUAGGAAGCCAGAGGAUUUGUCGGGUUGGUAUUGGAGGAACCUGUUACAAGAU